rnacentral:rRNA from 1 species
UGGGGAAUAUUGCACAAUGGGCGCAAGCCUGAUGCAGCCAUGCCGCGUGUAUGAAGAAGGCCUUCGGGUUGUAAAGUACUUUCAGUCGGGAGGAAGGUGGUAAGGUUAAUGACCUUAUCAAUUGACGUUACCGACAGAAGAAGCACCGGCUAACUCCGUGCCAGCAGCCGCGGUAAUACGGAGGGUGCAAGCGUUAAUCGGAAUUACUGGGCGUAAAGCGCACGCAGGCGGUUGAUUGAGUCAGAUGUGAAAUCCCCGGGCUUAACCCGGGAAUUGCAUCUGAUACUGGUCAGCUAGAGUCUUGUAGAGGGGGGUAGAAUUCCAUGUGUAGCGGUGAAAUGCGUAGAGAUGUGGAGGAAUACCGGUGGCGAAGGCGGCCCCCUGGACAAAGACUGACGCUCAGGUGCGAAAGCGUGGGGAGCAAACAGG